AGCUUUGCGCAGUGGCAGUAUUGUAGCCAAUGAGGUUUAUCCGAGGCGCGAUUAUUGCUAAUUAAAAUACAGAAGGAAAGAGCAAAUGUUUUCAUAAAUACCUUCCUACUUAAAAUAUAUUCCCCAUUAUUUAUUUAUUUUAAGAU